ACACCUGCCUGCCCCCUGCUGUCAGGAUAGGAAUACAACACGUUUUCAAAAUGGUUCGCUCGAACAGACCAAGACGUGCCACAAGCUCCUUCUGUGGCACCUUCAAGGCCACUAAAAGACGAUUUGUGUGCGUGUUGGCGUUGGACACGUGUCGUUCCGGCAACGGCGAGGUGGACGGCGUGACGGAAGAGUUUUCGGGUCUGGAGGUUCUGCGCAUGGUCAACGUGGGACUCACGUCGCUCUCCAAACUGCCGUCGCUGCCUAAACUACACAAGCUGGAGCUGAGCGACAACGCCAUAUGCGGAGGUUUGGAGGCGCUGGCCCAAAAAUGUCCCAACCUGACGCACCUCGACAUCAGCGGCAACGGGAUCAGCGACAUAGCCGCCCUGGAAGCGCUGAAGCCCCUGAAGAAGCUGAAGACUUUGGACGCGUCGGGCUGCGAGGUUAGCGCACGGGACGACUACCGCGACGGCGUCUUCCGCCUCCUGCCGCACGUCAUGUACCUGGAUGGCUACGAUCGCCAUGACAACAAGGCGCCACACUCGGACAACGACCAGGACGACGGCGCCGGUCCGCACGGCGACGCCGCCGAUGAAGACGACGAAGAUGAAGAUGAUGCUGAGGAUGUCUCUGAGGAGGAGGAGGUGGGGCUGUCGUACCUGAUGAAGGAGGGCAUCCAGUUUGUGUUAUCGUCAAGCCUCUGGAUAACUGCAAUAAGGAACGGCACCCUGUAGAGGGCAACGAUGCCCCUCCCUCGGCGGGGCGCAAGAGACAAUGAGAAGACAUAAUGGCGUAAAAGAGAGAAGACAAAAUGAAAGGGUACUAGAAAUGGAUUGUGCCAAGGCAAGACAAAUAUCUCUGCGACCGAAAGGAAUGACGCCUUAGAUCAUGCGGUGAAGCGAAGGAUGACGCUCCGAGCCGAUCGCUUUGUUGCAAACCUACCGCCCAAAAUGCCGGCCCGUGCGUAUGGCGAGACGCUCUCGGCCGCCCGCCGGGAUUUGAAUAAAUGGCAUCCGGAAUCGUCAGAUGAGCGAACUCCCUCCGGAUAGCCCGGAGGCAGCCGAGCUUCAUCCCGAGCUUCCUCCGACGAAGACCGACAAAGUCCCACGAAGACGAAGCUCGUCCAUCUUGCAGGAAUUCAAGACCCGCGAGUCGAGCGGCUUUUAGGAUUGCGACGAAGAAAGGUUAUGCAUCCGGCAGACGCUCGACUCCCAUUCCAGUACGCAGUGCAGACAAAAAACGGAACUGAAAGCUUUCUUUUCUCCACGUCCCACCGCGGCAAUUUCAACAAUGUAUUUUUAUAGUUACAUUUCUAAACUGUACAGGUUGUGCUUCGAGCAGAAAUAGGGAUUGGUUUCAAGGAGAAGGACAACCACAAAAGAUCCCAUUCACCGCCACCAAAUAAAAAAAAUCCAGAUGUGGAUAAAUAGGAAAUAGUCCUAAAAACCUGGACUAUUGAGCAAACGGUAGAGGAGGAGAAGUGCGGGAAGUCCAUUUGUUCUUGCAUUUUUCUCUCAUGUAAAUUCUGUACACAUUUGUCAAUAAAUACUUUUUCUGUCCAAA